rnacentral:rRNA from 1 species
UACGGGGGGGGGCAAGCGUUGUUCGGAAUUACUGGGCGUAAAGCGUGCGCAGGCGGUUAUGUAAGACAGUUGUGAAAUCCCCGGGCUCAACCUGGGAAUUGCAUCUGUGACUGCAUAGCUAGAGUACGGUAGAGGGGGAUGGAAUUCCGCGUGUAGCAGUGAAAUGCGUAGAUAUGCGGAGGAACACCGAUGGCGAAGGCAAUCCCCCUGGACCUGUACUGACGCUCAUGCACGAAAGCGUGGGGAGCAAACAGG